rnacentral:lncRNA from 1 species
UACCAUAUUCAAACGAAACAAAAGGAUGAGGCUUACUAAACAAGCCGGAAACAAAUUCAUGACACAGAUUUAGCUCGAUAUUUUCAUAGUAAGGUUAGCACGGGCUCAAUCAUACAUUGGAUUGUUAUAUUGAAAUUAUGCUCGAAUAUGCUCCCUAGGCAUAGCGAACUACAAGGCAUGACGGAGCAUAUGUGAUGAAAUAUAUCGAGACUCUCCUUUGUAAGGAAGAUUGUGAACAAACGAAUCCAGUAGAUGUAGAACCCCAAUCUCAUAUCAUGCACCUGUUGGACGAUAAUCCUAGGUAACUACAUGAAUUCCCACCUAAGAACUCCUAAAAUUUUCUGGUUAUGCAAUCAGGUCCAUGGAUACAAGGAGUAAAAUCCAUCAAUCAACUCCUAGCAAUAACACUACCCGUCUAGUGUAUCACAUCCAUCAACACAUAACCAGAGAUCUCGGAAACUCAUCUACCUCAGACCCUCAUAAUCAGAACAAUACCAAGUAUGGCAGUACAUCCGGACGCUCUCCACCAGUACCGGGGAUGCCAGAGUCCUCUCACACUACUAGUAUUAAAGCAAUUUCGAACAUCAUCUGUCAUGAGAUAGUAAGGAAACUGAACAAUAGUGAGUGUGACAGGAAUCCCUUAGAGCACAACUAUUCGAUAACAGGAGGCAACAAGAACAAAAUCCCGGUCACAACGACAUCGUAGAGGUUCCAAAAUACCCAUGAUCCUAUUUUUUUAUUGAGUGAGAAUAGGAGUAGAAUUAAAAUUCCUAGGUCGUAAACCUCAUGAGAUCAGGGAAGAGGAGUGAAAAGAAUCCUACUCUCCGAUAUAUAACUAAACUCAAAGUAGUUUUUCACUAGACUCGACUCGACCAAGUUUGAUCAAUCAAGGGAGCUCCCAGGUCGGUACAACUAUGAUGCCAAUUUGUAACGCCCAAGAUGCCAUCAUAUCCUUAUUUUGGCAUGAGGGCCUCGACAGGUAUAGAACCGCAUCUCGUCAUUUUGCAAGAAUGGAUAUUAUUACAUGUACAUGUAUAGCAGAUAUAAGUAUAUGGAAUUGGCUUACACUCACCAUAAGGUAUAUCAUGAACAACACAAUACAACAAUAUAUUCAAUGACCAUGUAGAAGGGUAGGGUCCGACUAUGGACGAAAACAAACAAUAAAAGAACAACGUCCAUCCUUGCUAUCCGAGGCUGUCAGCCUAGAACCCAUCCUAAAUCGAUGAAGAAGAAGAAGAGGAAACUCCAAAUAACACAAUCAUCGCGCUCACGUCAAAUUAUUGCUUUACCUGUACCUGCCAGAGGGACUCGGCAAUCUCAUUUUCAAAGUAUCAAGACUAGCAAAGAUUAAUGGGUGAGAUAUGGUUAAGUGGUCUGCAACAAGCAACUAAGCUUUUUUGGGUGGCUAACUUAGAAGUACAAGAAUAAAAGGGGGAUAAUCUACGUGUAUCAGAGGGGAACUAAUAAUGAUCACGAAGUGAUCCAGAACACCUACUUACGUCAAACAUAACCCCACUGUGUCCUCUUCCAGAUGCAGAACUCUGAGAAGAGACAGUCACAGUUACACACACAGUUGGCAUAUUUUAAGUAAAUUUACUUCAAGUUAUCUAGAACCGGAUGUUAAACAAAGUUUCCAAGUUGCCACAUAACCGUGGGCACGGAUUUCCGAAAGAUUUAAUCCUGUCGGGGUGCUCCAACUAGUCCAUCAUAAACUACCACACGCUGCAUCGGAAAACCCGUGAUCUCCUCGGAUUCUUGGUGGAAAACCUCAACCUCAAGAUAGCCCAAAGUAUCCUCAAAAUACCUUGCACAAGAUGUUCGAGAAAGUUAAAACAAAUCCAGCAAGGUCGCCCGACGUGUCGACGAUCCCGAUAGGAGCCACGUAUCUCGUUCUCAGGACACGACAGAUAAGCGACGCGUACGUGUGCCUAAUACGAAUCACCCAAGUUGCCUUGGGUUGGACCCGCACAAUGCUCUAGUUUGGACCAACACUCAUUAGGAACACUUGCCCGAGGGUUGUUUAAUUAUCCACGGGUUAACUACUCCCUAGGCGGUUCAUUAGUUAUUAAGCAAAUGUAGUACAAAUGUUGGGGCUUGCCAGAAGAGUUUUAUCUCAAAAAUAAAAUCAAGGGGGUCCCCAUAACAACCCCAAGCAUGUUAGAAGCACUCAAUUAUGGAACAAAACACUCAUAGCCAAAACUAAGGCGGUAAAGAUGGAACAAAACACCAGGCUAGAAGGCCAAGCCUUGCACCUUCUAUCCAAUAUAUAGGUGCACUAAAUUAAUUAGCAACAAUGUGAUGAUAUAAUAAGGAACCCAUGUUUUCACAUGGAAUAAACUGCACUUACAACUAGCAACGACGUAAGAAGGCUGAGCAAGCGGUAACAUAGCUAAACUAGGGACUGCUAGGUUUUGCAGGGUUAGAGGCUUUUCAUAACAAUGUUGGCAGGCUGACAUUUAAGUGAUAGACAGCAAGACAUAGUAAAAGAAACGAGAUAACUAGCAUGACAAUGGUAGUAAUGGUAUCUAGGGAAAUGACCAUCUUGCGUGUGAUCCUGCUUGGAAGAAGAACGAAUCUAUGAAGCAGAUGAACCAAUAUAGUCGAACGAAUCCUCACAUUCCAACACACACGAUAUUCACCACAACAUAUGUAUGACAUGAUGCACAAAUACUUAUGAUGCAUGUCCAGUUUAAUUAUGCAAGGCAUUGCACCUCACAACAAUCGAAUACUACACAUUAAGUGAAGCUUAAUAUGCAACAAGUUGCAUAUUGUCGAAACUCCACGUUCAUAUAUUUAGUUCACUCCCGUUUAGAUACUCAUCAAUAUUAAAUGUUGUUUAAACAUGACAAGAGGUGAAGUAUAAAUAAUCUACACUAUCUAGGCAUUUCAAGUGAGGUCGGAAACAACAUAUAGCAUCUCCGAAAUGACCCCAUGUGUCAAUUUCAAACUCUGUCUAGAUUUGUACUAAUCACAUUUUAUAUUUAUUAAACAACAAAAUAAAGUGAGUCAUGUGAUUCUACAUGUUAUUCUUGUCGAUUUACAUAUAUGAAUCAUCUAAAACGAAGUUACGGUUUAAAGGAUAUGUGCAAGAACAAGAUGAUAUAGCAUGAACGCAUAAUGUAUGCAAAUGACAGUCACAAUAUGUUAAAACAUGGAUGCACAAGAUAUUAUGAAAGUACUUAAAAUUCUAAGCAAGUUUAAAUGAGGCCGGAACAACAAAUAUCAAUUCUAGAAAGUCCCCAUAUGUGAUUUCGAAUUUUCUACAUAUCUUCCUAAACAAAAUUUUAGAGUUGUUAAAUAGGAAAAAUAAAUGCUACCAUGUUAAUCUUCACAUUUUUCUAGCCAAGUUUCAUAUGUGGAUCAUUUUAAUCAGAGCUACGAUUGAUUAAUUAUGAGAUAAACCACUCUAACAUGGCAUUGGUGCAAAUUAAAUUAAAACAAGUUAAACAUUUUAAACACAUGUGAGAGUCGGAUAUUGUGCAACUACACAAAAUUUUAAGCAUUUUUCAUGUAUGAAGUUUUUUAAUCCGAUGCAUGGUUAAUUUUCUACGAAUUAAAUCAUUUUAAUAUGGCAUCACACAAAACAAUGCAAAAUAUUUUUAACAUGCGUGAAGGCGGAAUAUUAUCAAUCUACACAAAAUUCUGGAAAUUUCACAUAUAUAACUUAUUUUCAUCCAAUGCACGGUUAAAUAGUCAUUAACAAUUUAGAAAUAUGCACUUUUCUGAAAAUACAAAAUGUCGUGACAAAUAGCUAAAUUCGUCUGAGCAGAAAAAAAGUAUACAUGGCCAAAUUUUACUGAACUAGGCCAACACAGAACUAGGCGCAAUAUAAAAAAUGUCGCCUUCGGCGACAUAUAGGCAACGGGGAGGGGGCAGCUCACCAAGUGGGCUUGGCCAAGGUCGAGGCACAGGACCGGCUGGGCCGGCUGGGGCGGCUGCUCGGUGUGGCGCUUCGAGAGGCGACCGAGCCGAUCCGGAGCAGCCCACACACGCAUGUCGGGGUUGUGGACGUUGACCUCGCCUGCUCGAUCCCGAGCAGGCCAUACACAGCGGCCGCGGGACUCGGUGAGUUCUCGGGCGGGGCUCUAACGAGUGGAGGUGGCCGGAGGAGGCCGAUCCGGGGGUGUCGGCCUCGGAUCUCGCCGGAUCCGGGCGGCAGAGGCGAGGGAAGGCGAGGCUGGCGGUCUGUGACAGCAUGAGUAGCCGGCGGGGGGAUUAGGUCGCGGCUAAGCUACGUGUGAGGUGCGGCGAGCAGUGGUGGAGCGCAGGGCUCGACCCGACAGAGUUAUGCCGGCGGGUUGCCUCUGCAUAACGUGCAGGGGAGCGUGAGGGGAGGCUGCUUGCCGAGAUCGCGACACGGCGACGAUGAGCCUGGUGGCGGGGAGGCAGGGCACGCAGGCGCAACGUGCUGCAGCGGCUGAACCAUGCCUGGGUGGGCUACGCCUGGGCCUCGGCAGGCCGCGGUUGGGAGUAGCUGGUCGGCUGGUUCAGAGUGCCCUGUUCGUCGAUCUGGCCACGGGCGGUGCAGAUCAUGGCUCGGUGGAGCUGGUGGUUGUGGUUGGUUCAGGUGGCGGCUGCGUGGUGGAAGGGUGACAUGAUGCGGCGGGGCAGAGGUAGGGGAAGGGCUAGGACUAGGGUUUGGUCCAAAAAUGAUUGGGUUGGCUGUCUAUUUAUAGAUAGGGCUAGGAGAGGGGACUUUUGGGGCAUUUCGAGGCCUGCGAUCGCGAUUGGACGGCUCCGAUUGCGACCCAGGGCUAGUAGGAUUAGGUGGGCUGGUUGGAUAGUGUGGGGAAGAUUGUGGACUGAGAUGAGAUGGAGUUAGUGCGGCCCGUGAUAAGAUUUUUCAACACCGAAACGUCCG